rnacentral:rRNA from 1 species
GAUGAACGCUAGCUACAGGCUUAACACAUGCAAGUCGAGGGGAAACGGCAUCGAAAGCUUGCUUUUGAUGGGCGUCGACCGGCGCACGGGUGAGUAACGCGUAUCCAACCUGCCCAUCACUUGGGAAUAACCUUGCGAAAGUAAGACUAAUGCCCAAUGACAUCCCACGAAGGCAUCCGAAUGGGAUUCAAGAUUUAUCGGUGAUGGAUGGGGAUGCGUCUGAUUAGCUUGUUGGCGGGGUGACGGCCCACCAAGGCAACGAUCAGUAGGGGUUCUGAGAGGAAGGUCCCCCACAUGGGAACUGAGACACGGUCCAAACUGCUACGGGAGGCAGCAGUGAGGAAGAUUGGUCAAUGGGCGAGAGCCUGAACAAGCCAAGUAGCGUGCAGGAGGACGGCCCUAUGGGUGGUAAACUGCUUUUAUAAGGGAAGAAAGUGGGUAACGUGUGACUUUUUGCAUGUACCUUAUGAAUAAGGACCGGCUAAUUCCGUG